CAGCGUUUGCCAUGGUAGGACGUCUGGCAGAGAUGCCUUUCUUCCCUUCGGGGACCUACACACAGGUGCUGCAUGGCUGUCGUCAGCUCGUGUCGUGAGAUGUUGGGUUAAGUCCCGCAACGAGCGCAACCCUCGACUUUAGUUACCAUCAUUAAGUUGGGUACUUUAAAGUACCCGCCGGUGAUAAGCCGGAGGAAGGUGGGGAUGACGUCAAGUCCUCAUGGCCCUUACGCGCUGGGCUACCCACGUGCUCCAAUGGCAAGUACAGUGGGCAGCAAUCCCCCGAGGGUGAGCUUAUCUCCACUCCUUUCUCAGUUCGGAUUGUUCUCUGCAACUCGAGAGCAUGAAGGCGGAAUCGCUAGUAAUCGCGAUC
rnacentral:rRNA from 1 species